UGGUUCUGGCAUCGAUGAAGAACGCAGCGAAAUGCGAUAAGUAAUGUGAAUUGCAGAAUUUAGUGAACCAUCGAAUCUUUGAACGCACAUUGCGCCCCUUGGUAUUCCGGGGGGCAUGCCUGUUCGAGCGUCAUUAUCACCAAUCCAGCCUGGCUGGGUAUUGGGCCACGCGGUCUCGCGGGCUCCAAAAUCAGUGGCAGUGCCAUCCAGCGCUAAGCGUAGUGACAUCUCUCGCUAUGGUGCCUGGGUGGAUGCUGGCCAGCAAGCCUAUAUUUUUCUGGUUGACCUCGGAUCAGGUAGGGAUACCCGCUGA
rnacentral:misc_RNA from 1 species